CGGCACAGAGGGAAGCCAGGUGGCGACACCGCGCGGAACCGAAAGCCGUUCUCAGUUCGGAUCGGAGUCUGCAACCCGACUCCGUGAAGCUGGAUUCGCUAGUAAUCGCGGAUCAGCAUGCCGCGGUGAAUACGUUCCCGGGCCUUGUACACACCGCCCGUCACACCAUGGGAGUUUGUAACGCCCAAAGUCGGUGGCCUAACCUUUAUGGAGGGAGCCGCCUAAGGCGGGACAGAUGACUGGGGUGAAGUCGUAACAAGGUAAC
rnacentral:rRNA from 1 species